GCCAGUGUAGUGUAGUGGUUUGAAUGUUGGACUAGGACUCUGAGAGACCAGGAUUCAAAUCCCUGCUUAGCCA